AUUGAACGCUGGCGGCAGGCCUAACACAUGCAAGUCGAGCGGAUGAAGGGAGCUUGCUCCUGGAUUCAGCGGCGGGCGGGUGAGUAAUGCCUAGGAAUCUGCCUGGUAGUGGGGGAUAACGUCCGGAAACGGGCGCUAAUACCGCAUACGUCCUGAGGGAGAAAGUGGGGGAUCUUCGGACCUCACGCUAUCAGAUGAGCCUAGGUCGGAUUAGCUAGUUGGUGGGGUAAAGGCCUACCAAGGCGACGAUCCGUAACUGGUCUGAGAGGAUGAUCAGUCACACUGGAACUGAGACACGGUCCAGACUCCUACGGGAGGCGGCAGUGGGGAAUAUUGGACAAUGGGCGAAAGCCUGAUCCAGCCAUGCCGCGUGUGUGAAGAAGGUCUUCGGAUUGUAAAGCACUUUAAGUUGGGAGGAAGGGCAGUAAGUUAAUACCUUGCUGUUUUGACGUUACCAACAGAAUAAGCACCGGCUAACUUCGUG
rnacentral:rRNA from 1 species